UACGGAGGAUGCGAGCGUUAUCCGGAUUUAUUGGGUUUAAAGGGUGCGUAGGCGGACUGUCAAGUCAGCGGUAAAAUUGAGAGGCUCAACCUCUUCCCGCCGUUGAAACUGGUGUCUUGAGUGGAUGAGAAGUACGCGGAAUGCGUGGUGUAGCGGUGAAAUGCAUAGAUAUCACGCAGAGCUCCGAUUGCGAAGGCAGCGUACCGGCAUCCAACUGACGCUGAGGCACGAAAGCGUGGGGAUCAAACAGG
rnacentral:rRNA from 1 species